UACGUAGGGUGCAAGCGUUGUCCGGAAUUACUGGGCGUAAAGAGUUCGUAGGCGGUUUGUCGCGUCGUUUGUGAAAACCAGCAGCUCAACUGCUGGCUUGCAGGCGAUACGGGCAGACUUGAGUACUGCAGGGGAGACUGGAAUUCCUGGUGUAGCGGUGAAAUGCGCAGAUAUCAGGAGGAACACCGGUGGCGAAGGCGGUUCUCUGGGCCUUACCUGACGCUGAGGAGCGAAAGCAUGGGGAGCAAACAGG
rnacentral:rRNA from 1 species